rnacentral:sRNA from 1 species
AUCUUCUGCUUCUAUUGGUUACGCUUGGUCCCGCCACUCGGGUCCUCUGGCUUCUUCCCAAACACCUCCUCUUUCUCUCGGUGAUUGGCCAAGAGGCAGUUCCCAUAGUAACUGACACCGCGCUCCCACUUCCCAGCCUGGAGGACAGCGCCGGCCCUCGUAUUAGCAACCUGGAAGAGAGGGCGCCCAGGUGGGCACUCGCAACUUCUUACGUAUCUGCGCGUUCUCUUCGCACCCACUGGCGUGAGCCUGCGCUUUCCGCCUUCCUUCCCUCACAAGCCCCCGUGGCAACCGUCGCCGUUGAGACGGAGGGAGACGCCCCCACGGAUUCGCCCCGCCGCGCCUCUCCGCGCGUAGAUUGGCCGGAGCGAGGCGAACGGGCCCGGCCUUGGUAGCCGCCGACCGAGCGCUGGCUGUCCUGGAACCUAGGCGGCGGGAGCCCGGGGCGCCCCGCGGCACGGAAGAGCGGCGAGAUGCUCAACCGCAAGACCAGCCACUUUUUGGGAAUGAGGGUGCAGUCGGAGCUUGAACAUCUCUCCGAGCUGCGGCGGGAAGCGGGGAAGGAUCGCAGCUCAGUGCAUGGGUCGGCCGCGCGGACGCGUGCGAGUGUGCGGACUCAGUGGACGACGGCGGCGGCGGCGACGAAAGCGGAUGAAGGCCCUGGAGCCAACUUGUUUCCGGUGAGGGCGGGACAGUCUGGUCUGCUCGUGAAUGUUUAUAAACCGGCUCCCCCGCAGGCGCCACCUGUCAUUAUGCUUACUAACGUUCGGGACGUCUCCCGGGCUGCUUGGGCGAGCAGAGGCAGGGGUGUGUGACCCCGGUGGUUACUGUGCUCGCGUAGAGCACCUAGGGCCUGCUGAAGCCCUCCCUCGCCCGCGCCUCUCCUUCUUAGUCCUUGAGAUGAGAUGGCAAGUUACAGCGGCUUCUCCGGCCUGCUGGAGAUUCGCUACGGGCCAGGACACCGCAGCUGCCUUCCCCAAUUCGCUUUCUUUCCGCAGCCGCCGCUGCCCCGGCCCCGGAUCUGCAUGUGGAAGUACCUGGACGUCCAUUCCAUGCACCAGCUGGAGAAGACCACCAAUGCUGAGGAGAUGAGGGAGGUGCUGGCUGAGCUGCUGGAGCUAGGGUGUCCUGAGCAGAGCCUGCGGGACGCCAUCACCCUGGACCUCUUCUGCCACGCGCUCAUUUUCUGCCGCCAGCAGGGCUUCUCACUGGAGCAGACGUCAGCAGCUUGUGCCCUGCUCCAGGAUCUUCACAAGGCUUGUAUUGCAACCCCCUUGGGCAACGUGGAGGAGUGCUACCGCUACUUCACCAGUGUCCUUUUUUGCCAUGGAGUCAGGCGGCCUCCUUUCAGCAUCGACCUCUUCAAAGAGCAACAGCUGCUGGCCUUGGAAGACUACGUGGUCAACACUUACUUCCGCCACUUCAAGCUCUAUAAAUACGUCUUCACACCCCAGGUGCGGCUGGAUCUGUCUUUGACUUACAUGGGGCUACAGCCACCCAAACUGUGGCCAGAGAGUGAGACGGGUAAGGGAGAGUGCCAGGGCAGGGCUGGGCUGGGCCAGGCGUGGGGCCACAGUCUCUUCCUGCUUCUGGUUUGCAGAGAAAGAAGAAAGCAAGGAGAUGGAGGAGCAGGCAGUUACCCCGCAGAAAGAGGAACUAGAGACAGUGGCCCCGCCAGAGCCAGAGCCAAGCCACGUCCAUGUCCUCCGAGCCUACAUCAAGACCCAAGUGAACAAAGAGCUGGAGCAGCUCCAGGGGCUGGUGGAGGAGCGGCUCAAGGCCAGCGAGGAAAGGCUCAGCAGCAAGUUGACUGCACUAGAGCAGCCCUUCCAGCUACCUCCGGGUAAAGGCAAGAGCAAGACCAAGUGACCCCCAACAUUUUCCCCAAUAAAGGUCUGGGCCAGAAUGGCACCA